rnacentral:rRNA from 1 species
CAGUCGCCACGGGAAUACGUAGGGUGCAAGCGUUAAUCGGAAUUACUGGGCGUAAAGCGUGCGCAGGCGGUUAUAUAAGUCAGAUGUGAAAUCCCCGGGCUCAACCUGGGAACUGCAUUUGAGACUGUAUGGCUAGAGUGUGUCAGAAGGGGGGUAGAAUUCCACGUGUAGCAGUGAAAUGCGUAGAUAUGUGGAGGAAUACCGAUGGCGAAGGCAGCCCCCUGGGAUAACACUGACGCUCAUGCACGAAAGCGUGGGGAGCAAACAGGAUUAGAUACCCCAGUAGUCCCUGUCUCUUAUA